CCUACGGGAGGCAGCAGUGGGGAAUAUUGCACAAUGGGCGAAAGCCUGAUGCAGCAACGCCGCGUGCGGGAUGAAGGCCCUAGGGUUGUAAACCGCUUUCAGCAGGGAAGAAAAUGACGGUACCUGCAGAAGAAGGUGCGGCCAACUACGUGCCAGCAGCCGCGGUGACACGUAGGCACCAAGCGUUGUCCGGAUUUAUUGGGCGUAAAGAGCUCGUAGGCGGUUCAGUUAGUCGGGUGUGAAAACUCUGGGCUCAACCCAGAGACGCCACCCGAUACUGCUGUGACUAGAGUACGGUAGGGGAGUGGGGAAUUCCUGGUGUAGCGGUGAAAUGCGCAGAUAUCAGGAGGAACACCGGUGGCGAAGGCGCCACUCUGGGCCGUAACUGACGCUGAGGAGCGAAAGCGUGGGUAGCAAACAGGAUUAGAUACCCUGGUAGUCCACGCCGUAAACGUUGGGCACUAGGUGUGGGUCUCAACCAACGAGAUCCGCGCCGUCGCUAACGCAUUAAGUGCCCCGCCUGGGGAGUACGGUCGCAAGACUAAAACUCAAAGGAAUUGACGG
rnacentral:rRNA from 1 species